rnacentral:rRNA from 1 species
AUUGAACGCUGGCGGCAGGCCUAACACAUGCAAGUCGAACGAGUGGCGGACGGGUGAGUAAUGUCUGGGAAACUGCCUGAUGGAGGGGGAAAACUACUGGAAACGGUAGCUAAUAGCGCAUACGAUCAGAUGUGCCCAGAUGGGAUUAGCUAGUUGGUGGGGUAACGGCUCACAAAGGCGACGAUCCCUAGCUGGUCUGAGAGGAUGACCAGCCACACUGGAACUGAGACACGGCCCAGACUCCUACGGGAGGCAGCAGUGGGGAAUAUUGCACAAUGGGCUCAAGCCUGAUGCAGCCACGCCGCGUGUAUGAAGAAGGCCUUCGGGUUGUAAAGUACUUUCAGCGGGGAGGCGUUACCCGCAGAAGAAGCACCGGCUAACUCCGUGCCAGCCGCCGCGGUAAUUC